rnacentral:rRNA from 1 species
GUGAUCGGCCACACUGGGACUGAGACACGGCCCAGACUCCUACGGGAGGCAAUGACGUUAGCGGCGGACGAGUAACACGUACCUGCCUGUAAGACUGGCAGUAGGGAAUCUUCCGCAAUGGACGAAAGUCUGACGGAGCAACGCCGCGUGAUGAAAGGCUUUCGGGUCCUGUUUGUUAGGGAAGAACAAGUACAAGAGUAACUGCUUGUAACGGUACCUAACCAGAAAGCCCACGGCUAACUACGCCGCGGUAAUACGUAGGUGGCAAGCGUGUUAGAGGUAUCCGGAAUUAUUGGUGCGAGUGGUUUCUUAAGAGUCUGAUGUGAAAGGGCCAACGGCUCAACCGUGGAGGGUCAUUGGAAACUGGGGAACUUGAGUGCAGAAGUAGCAGUAAAAGCUGGAAUUCCACGUGUAGCGGUGAAAUGCGUAGAGAUGUAGUGGCGCCAAAGGCGGCUUGUCUGUAACUGACGGCUGUCAGGCGCGAUAAAGCGUGUGGCGGAGCA